UAUUCCUACGGGACGCAGCAGUGGGGAAUAUUGCACAAUGGGGGGAACCCUGAUGCAGCAAUGCCGCGUGAAGGAUGAAGGUUUUCGGAUUGUAAACUUCUUUUGUACGGGACGAAGAAAGUGACGGUACCGUAAGAAUAAGCCACGGCUAACUACGUGCCAGCAGCCGCGGUAAUACGGAGGAUGCGAGCGUUAUCCGGAUUUAUUGGGUUUAAAGAGUGCGUAGGCGGGCUUUUAAGUCAGCGGUAAAAAUUCG
rnacentral:rRNA from 1 species